rnacentral:rRNA from 1 species
CCCUUAGAUGUUCUGGGCCGCACGCGUGCUACACUGAGUGGAUCAGCGGGUCAGGUUGCGCGAAAGUGUUUCCUAAUCUUUAAAUCCGCUCGUGAUGGGGAUUGACGGUUGCAAUUUUCUGUCAUGAACGAGGAAUACCUUGUAAGCGCGGGUCAUCAUCCCGCGCUGAAUACGUCCCUGCCCUUUGCACACACCGCCCGUCGCUCCUACCGAUUGAGUGGUCCGGUGAGGCUUUGGGAUCUGAGCGGAAAGAGCGUUUCGCUGUUUCUGCUCGGAAAACUCAGUCGAACCUUAUCAUUUAGAGGAAGGAGAAGUCGUAACA